rnacentral:rRNA from 1 species
UACGUAGGGUGCGAGCGUUAAUCGGAAUUACUGGGCGUAAAGCGUGCGCAGGCGGCUUGUUAAGUCCGUUGUGAAAGCCCCGAGCUCAACUUGGGAAUUGCAGUGGAUACUGGCAGGCUGGAGUACGGUAGAGGAAGGUGGAAUUCCCGGUGUAGCAGUGAAAUGCGUAGAUAUCGGGAGGAACACCAGUGGCGAAGGCGGCCUUCUGGGCCAGUACUGACGCUCAUGCACGAAAGCGUGGGGAGCAAACAGG